rnacentral:rRNA from 1 species
GCCUACAGCCACACCACUCUGAAAGCGCCUGAUCUCGGAAGCGUUUCAGGGCCGGGCCUGGUUCGUACCUGGAUGGGAGACCGCCUGGGAAUAUCAGGUGUCGUAAGCU